rnacentral:rRNA from 1 species
GACGAACCGUCCAAACGUUAUUCGGUAUCACUGGGCUUAAAGCGUUCGUAGGCGGCCUGGAAGGUGAGAUGUGAAAGCCCUCGGCUCAACCGAGGAAUUGCGUUUCAAACCACCAGGCUUGAGGGAGACAGGGGUGAUGGGAACUGUUGGUGGAGCGGUGAAAUGCGUUGAUAUCAACAGGAACACCGGUGGCGAAAGCGCAUCACUGGGUCUCUUCUGACGCUGAGGAACGAAAGCUAGGGGAGCGAACGGG